AUUGAACGCUGGCGGCAGGCCUAACACAUGCAAGUCGAGCGGAUGAAGGGAGCUUGCUCCUGGAUUCAGCGGCGGACGGGUGAGUAAUUCCUAGGAAUCUGCCUGGUCGUGGGGGCUAACGUCCGUAAACGGGCGCUAAUACCGCAUCCGUCCUGAUGUAGAACGUGGGGGAUCUUCGGACCUCACGCUAUCAGAUGCGCCUAGGUCGGAUUAGCUAGUUGGUGGGGUAAAGGCCUACCAAGGCGACGAUCCGUAACUGGUCUGAGAGGAUGAUCAGUCAAACGGGAACUGAGACACGGUCCAGACUCCUACGGGAGGCAGCAGUGGGGAAUAUUGGACAAUGGGCGAAAGCCUGAUCCAGCCAUGCCGCGUGUGUGAAGAAGGUCUUCGGAUUGUAAAGCACUUUAAGUUGGGAGGAAGGGCAGUAAGUUAAUACCUUGCUGUUUUGACGGUACCAACAGAAUAAGCACCGGCUAACUUCGUG
rnacentral:rRNA from 1 species